ACAAAGAAGCAGCAGCAGCAACACUCUGAAGAUGGCUUCAUUGGCAGCAUCGUCCACUCCUGCUGCCUCCAUUGGAGUUAAGGAGAUGCUUGGCAACCCUCUCAAUGUCAGCAGUGCUGUUAGGACUUCAGCUCCAGGUGCAUCAAACCCUUCUACUUUCAAGCCCGUUGCUCUCUUCUCCAAGAAGAAAGCCGCCCCUCCUGCCAAGUCUAAGCCCGUCGCCGUCUCCCCCGUUAACGAAGAGCUCGCCAAGUGGUAUGGUGAGUACAUGCCAAUUCUACUUUUUCCGAGCUUAAGAGUACGUUUGCAACUGUUAUGCUUUUGAGGUCCAGUGGCUUAAAAACUGUUGUAUCAGAGCCAAAAUCUUGUGUUCGAACUCGCAGUUAUUGCUCUGUCUGGUUAUAAUUUCAAUAUAGGUCUUUCAACAUAUUGCAUGCAUGGUGAAUUUUUC
rnacentral:lncRNA from 1 species